rnacentral:tRNA from 1 species
AAGAAAGUGGCAGACUGGUUAUGUGGCUGACUUGAAAUCAGCAUAUGGGGGUUCGACUCCCUCCUUUCUUG